rnacentral:rRNA from 1 species
AUUGAACGCUGGCGGCAUGCCUUACACAUGCAAAUCGAACGGUAACGGGCCUUCGGGUGCCGACGAGUGGCGCACGGGUGCGUAAUACAUCGGAACGUGCCCGAUCGUGGGGGAUAACGAGGCGAAAGCUUUGCUAAUACCGCAUACGAUCUACGGAUGAAAGCAGGGGACCGCAAGACCUUGCGCGGACGGAGCGGCCGAUGGCAGAUUAGGUAGUUGGUGGGAUAAAAGCUUACCAAGCCGACGAUCUGUAGCUGGUCUGAGAGGAUGAUCAGCCACACUGGGACUGAGACACGGCCCAGACUCCUACGGGAGGCAGCAGUGGGGAAUUUUGGACAAUGGGCGCAAGCCUGAUCCAGCCAUGCCGCGUGCAGGAUGAAGGCCUUCGGGUUGUAAACUGAUUUUGUACGGAACGAAAAGCCUUCUUUUAAUACAGGAGGGUCAUGACGGUACCGUAAGAAUAAGCACCGGCUAACUACGUG